rnacentral:rRNA from 1 species
AAUGAGUGAUGGCGUGCCUUUUGUAGAAUGAACCGGCGAGUUACGAUUGCAUGCGAGGUUAAGUCGAAGAGACGGAGCCGCAGCGAAAGCGAGUCUGAAUAGGGCGAAUGAGUAUGUAGUCGUAGACCCGAAACCAUGUGAUCUACCCAUGUCCAGGUUGAAGGUGCGGUAAAACGCACUGGAGGACCGAACCCACGUACGUUGAAAAGUGCGGGGAUGAGGUGUGGGUAGCGGAGAAAUUCCAAACGAACUUGGAGAUAGCUGGUUCUCUCCGAAAUAGCUUUAGGGCUAGCCUCGGAAUUGAGAAUGAUGGAGGUAGAGCACUGUUUGGACUAGGGGCCCAUCUCGGGUUACCGAAUUCAGAUAAACUCCGAAUGCCAUUCAUUUAUAUCCGGGAGUCAGACUGCGAGUGAUAAGAUCCGUAGUCGAAAGGGAAACAGCCCAGACCACCAGCUAAGGUCCCAAAAUAUAUGUUAAGUGGAAAAGGAUGUGGGGUUGCACAGACAACUAGGAUGUUGGCUUAGAAGCAGCCACCAUUUAAAGAGUGCGUAAUAGCUCACUAGUCGAGUGACCCUGCGCCGAAAAUGUACCGGGGCUAAACAUAUUACCGAAGCUGUGGACUACACCAUUAGGUGUAGUGGUAGGAGAGCGUUCUAAGGGCGUUGAAGGUCGAUCGUGAGGACGGCUGGAGCGCUUAGAAGUGAGAAUGCCGGUAUGAGUAGCGAAAGACAGGUGAGAAUCCUGUCCACCGUAUGACUAAGGUUUCCUGGGGAAGGCUCGUCCGCCCAGGGUUAGUCGGGACCUAAGCCGAGGCCGAUAGGCGUAGGCGAUGGACAACAGGUUGAUAUUCCUGUACCAGUUGUUUUUGUUUGAGCAAUGGAGGGACGCAGUAGGCUAAGGAAUGCAUGCGAUUGGAAGUGCAUGUCCAAGCAAUGAGUCUUGAGUAGAGUUAAAUGCUUUACUCUCUAAGGACAAGUUGUGACGGGGAGCGAAAUAAUAGUAGCGAAGUUCCUGAUGUCACACUGCCAAGAAAAGCUUCUAGUGAGAAAACAACUGCCCGUACCGUAAACCGACACAGGUAGUCGAGGAGAGUAUCCUAAGGUGAGCGAGCGAACUCUCGUUAAGGAACUCGGCAAAAUGACCCCGUAAC